rnacentral:rRNA from 1 species
GAUGAACGCUGGCGGCGUGCCUAAUACAUGCAAGUCGAGCGAACGGACGAGAAGCUUGCUUCUCUGAUGUUAGCGGCGGACGGGUGAGUAACACGUGGAUAACCUACCUAUAAGACUGGGAUAACUUCGGGAAACCGGAGCUAAUACCGGAUAAUAUUUUGAACCGCAUGGUUCAAAGGUGAAAGACGGUCUUGCUGUCACUUAUAGAUGGAUCCGCGCUGCAUUAGCUAGUUGGUAAGGUAACGGCUUACCAAGGCAACGAUGCAUAGCCGACCUGAGAGGGUGAUCGGCCACACUGGAACUGAGACACGGUCCAGACUCCUACGGGAGGCAGCAGUAGGGAAUCUUCCGCAAUGGGCGAAAGCCUGACGGAGCAACGCCGCGUGAGUGAUGAAGGUCUUCGGAUCGUAAAACUCUGUUAUUAGGGAAGAACAGAUGUGUAAGUAACUGUGCACAUCUUGACGGUACCUAAUCAGAAAGCCACGGCUAACUACGUG